UACGAAGGGGGCUAGCGUUGUUCGGAAUCACUGGGCGUAAAGCGCACGUAGGCGGGUCUUUAAGUCAGGGGUGAAAUCCUGGAGCUCAACUCCAGAACUGCCUUUGAUACUGAAGAUCUUGAGUUCGGGAGAGGUGAGUGGAACUGCGAGUGUAGAGGUGAAAUUCGUAGAUAUUCGCAAGAACACCAGUGGCGAAGGCGGACUCACUGGCCCGAUACUGACGCUGAGGCACGAAAGCGUGGGGAGCAAACAGGG
rnacentral:rRNA from 1 species